rnacentral:rRNA from 1 species
CCUACGUGAUGCAGCAGUGAGGAAUAUUGGUCAAUGGGCUCUAGCCUGACCCAGCCAAGUAGCGUGAAGGAUGACUGCCCUAUGGGUUGUAACCUUCUUUUAUAUGGGAAUCAAGUGCAGUAUGUAUACUGCUUUUCAUGUACCUUAUGAAUAAGGAUCGGCUAACUCCGUUCCAGCCGCCGCGGUAAUACGGAGGAUACGAGCGUUAUCCGGUAUGAUUGGGUUUAAAGGGAUCUGAGGCGGGUUGUUAAGUCAGUUGUGAAAGUUUGCGGCUCAACCGUAAGAUUGCAGUUGAUACUGGCAUCCUUGAGUACAGUAGAGGUAGGCGGAAUUCGUGGUGUAGCGGUGAAAUGCUUAGAUAUCACGAAGAACUCCGAUUGCGAAGGCAGCCUGCUGGACUGUAACUGACGCUGAUGCUCGAAAGUGUGGGUAUCAAACAGGAUUAGAUACCCUUGUAGUC